UGCGAAUGGCUCAUUAAAUCAGUUAUCGUUUAUUUGAUAGUACCUUACUACAUGGAUACCCGUGGUAAUUCUAGAGCUAAUACAUGCUAAAAACCUCGACUUCGGAAGGGGUGUAUUUAUUAGAUAAAAAACCAAUGCCCUUCGGGGCUCCUUGGUGAUUCAUAAUAACUUCUCGAAUCGCAUGGCCUUGCGCCGGCGAUGGUUCAUUCAAAUUUCUGCCCUAUCAACUUUCGAUGGUAGGAUAGUGGCCUACCAUGGUGGCAACGGGUAACGGGGAAUUAGGGUUCGAUUCCGGAGAGGGAGCCUGAGAAACGGCUACCACAUCCAAGGAAGGCAGCAGGCGCGCAAAUUACCCAAUCCCGACACGGGGAGGUAGUGACAAUAAAUACUGAUACAGGGCUCUUUCGGGUCUUGUAAUUGGAAUGAGUACAAUUUAAAUCCCUUAACGAGGAACAAUUGGAGGGCAAGUCUGGUGCCAGCAGCCGCGGUAAUUCCAGCUCCAAUAGCGUAUAUUAAAGUUGUUGCAGUUAAAAAGCUCGUAGUUGAACCUUGGGCCUGGCUGGCCGGUCCGCCUCACGGCGUGCACUGGUCCGGCUGGGUCUUUCCUUCUGGGGAGCCGCAUGGACUUUACUGUCUGUGCGGGGAACCAGGACUUUUACUGUGAAAAAAUUAGAGUGUUCAAAGCAGGCCUUUGCUCGGAUACAUUAGCAUGGAAUAAUAGAAUAGGACGUGUGGUUCUAUUUUGUUGGUUUCUAGGACCGCCGUAAUGAUUAAUAGGGAUGGUCGGGGGCGUCAGUAUUCGGCUGUCAGAGGUGAAAUUCUUGGAUUUGCCGAAGACUAACUACUGCGAAGCAUUCGCCAAGGAUGUUUUCAUUAAUCAGUGAACGAAGUUAGGGAUC
rnacentral:rRNA from 1 species